CACGUAUUUCCAAACAGAAGAAGUAGUAAUAWUAGAGCUUCAUGACAAAAUAAUUAACCUGUAUAAAGAAAUUUUAAUGUGUUUUUUAAAAAGAAACUAUGUUUUACAAACUCCAUUAGAACAAAUAAAUCCUAAUAAUGGUGAGUUUCAAUUGGUUGACUCAGAAUUAUAUCAUGGAAUAGGAGUCAUGGAUCUGAUUAAGGACCCUAAAAUUGAAGCUGAUAAAUUAAGACUGAAGGAUUUCUAUUAGAGAUGCCGGGAUUUUUUUGUUGUUGCAGCAAUUGAGAUAAAAAAAGCGGUAUAACAUGGCUGAUCUAGUGCUCUCACAAUUAUUAGUUAUGUUAAAACCUCAAAAUGCCAUUUCCCGUUCAUUUAGAGAAACUUCUCCAACAUUGUUAUCUCUAAUGAAAUCGUUACCUAGAAUAGUAUCUGAUACACAACAAAUGCAAUUAAUUGAUGAUGAAUGGAGAUCACUGCCUAUUUAAUUCUCAAGUUUGGAGUAUGACUUACUACUUAAAUUAACAGAUCCAAAAACUCAAAGAGUGCCCACUGAUUUGUUUUGGAGUUUUGUAAAAAAUAGCAUUACAGAUUGUCAAAAUUUAGCUCAAUAUGUGUUAAAUGUUUUGUCUUUACCUCAUGC